GACGAACGCUGGCGGCGCGCCUAACACAUGCAAGUCGAACGGAGCUGUUUUCUCUGAAGUUUUCGGAUGGAAGAGAGUUCAGCUUAGUGGCGAACGGGUGAGUAACACGUGAGCAACCUGCCUUUCAGUGGGGGACAACAUUUGGAAACGAAUGCUAAUACCGCAUAAGACCACAGUGUCGCAUGGCACAGGGGUCAAAGGAUUUAUCCGCUGAAAGAUGGGCUCGCGUCCGAUUAGCUAGAUGGUGAGGUAACGGCCCACCAUGGCAACGAUCGGUAGCCGGACUGAGAGGUUGAACGGCCACAUUGGGACUGAGACACGGCCCAGACUCCUACGGGAGGCAGCAGUGGGGAAUAUUGCACAAUGGGGGAAACCCUGAUGCAGCGACGCCGCGUGGAGGAAGAAGGUCUUCGGAUUGUAAACUCCUGUCCCAGGGGACGAUAAUGACGGUACCCUGGGAGGAAGCACCGGCUAACUACGUGCCAGCAGCCGCGGUAAAACGUAGGGUGCAAGCGUUGUCCGGAAUUACUGGGUGUAAAGGGAGCGCAGGCGGAUUGGCAAGUUGGGAGUGAAAUCUAUGGGCUCAACCCAUAAAUUGCUUUCAAAACUGUCAGUCUUGAGUGGUGUAGAGGUAGGCGGAAUUCCCGGUGUAGCGGUGGAAUGCGUAGAUAUCGGGAGGAACACCAGUGGC
rnacentral:rRNA from 1 species